ACAAAAGACACAGCCGUUGGACUUUGAGAGCAGAUCCUGGCUUGAGAGUUUGCUUAUCAAUAUUACUGGAAACAUGUGACAUCUCAGUGUCUGGCCCUGCAGGCAGCUCUCCAUAAACCACAGCAGCUGUGAUCGGUCUAGCAGCUCAUGCCACCAGCCUGCCAAAGACAUAUGGCCCAUCCAAGUUGACUGCAAACCCACAGCGAAAGGUUGAGUACCGAGGUUGACCGGAGAGCACUCUGUUGUCUUCAUUAGACCCACUAAAUCGAUCCCCGGUGCAUCGCUCGCCAGAGCGUCGAACUAGCGGUAGUAUAAACAUAGAC